AUUGAACGCUGGCGGAAUGCUUUACACAUGCAAGUCGAACGGUAGAGGGGGCAACCCCUUGAGAGUGGCGAACGGGUGAGUAAUAUAUCGGAACGUGCCCGGUCGUGGGGGAUAACGUAGCGAAAGCUACGCUAAUACCGCAUACGAUCUACGGAUGAAGGCGGGGGAUCGCAAGACCUCGCGCGAUUGGAGCGGCCGAUAUCAGAUUAGGUAGUUGGUGAGGUAAAGGCUCACCAAGCCGACGAUCUGUAGCUGGUCUGAGAGGACGACCAGCCACACUGGGACUGAGACACGGCCCAGACUCCUACGGGAGGCAGCAGUGGGGAAUUUUGGACAAUGGGCGCAAGCCUGAUCCAGCAAUGCCGCGUGCAGGAUGAA
rnacentral:rRNA from 1 species